UGUAGCUAUAAACAAGGAUAAAGGGAAAGCCCAGCUCUGCAACGCUUAGUAACUCAAAGAAUCUGUGUAACAACAAAAAAAAAAAAUCCAGUAGGUGGAAAAUUUUCAGAUUUUAGCAAACAUUGCAACUUUAUUUGAGCAAUUCCCCGACCCCUGCUUCCAUCAGACGACAGACACACACACAAAAAAAUCCCACUGAGGACUUUUAGAAGACAAGGGGAGAUGUGACUGUUUCUGUUACUUUCAACAUUCUGGCUGAGAAUUUCUUCAACCGAAGCUGGGAUUUAUUGGACUGCAAACAGAAGUGAUCUGGAGUGGAGGUGCUGAUUGAGAAGGGCUUACUUGGGUAAUCUGGGUCAGUAUCCUGGGUCUAAUCACAGUCAGGUAAUUAAAAAGCCAAUGGAUUAUUCUGGGGAUCUGAGUAAGUGUGAGAGUCUAAAGAGUUGGGUCAAACUGAUCUUAGAAAGGGUUAAUACAUACAUCUAAAGCACUGUGCGUGAUGUGUGUGUAUGUGAUUAACCGUGUGUGUGUGGGGGGGGGGGGGGGGGGUAUUGUUAUAAUACAUAAGGGGGAUGCAAAUAGAUACUGUAACACUCACAAAAAAUGCCCUAAAAAUAAGCAUUGUGCUGUUAUUAUUUUUAUUUAUUUAUUUGUAUAACUGUACUUUAGUGCUGCUAUUUUGUUAUUUUAUUAUUUUGAAUAAUUGUACUUUAGUGCUGUUAUUGUGACUGUAUUUUAGGUGAUCUUGCUUGGCGCUAGUACACUAAAAAGUCCUCAAAAAUAACCCAAAAUUAUUAGCAGGGUCAGAAUAAAGAGGACAGGAUUUAUUAUUUUAGGAACUGGGAGAUUUACAUCGUAAAUUUCAUUGUCAUCUAUUUUUCCUUUUUGAUCUACGUCGCAUUUCAUUACAAGUUAAAAAAAAAAAAACAACGAAUAUAGUGUGAUUUAUUUGUAUUUUUUAUAUACAUACAGCUGUAAUUGUUUGAAUUUAUUUGAGACCUCCUGUGUUCCCUGUGCAGUUUAACCCCUUUGCUGCAAGUACAACAGAUCCAGGGCAGUGAAGGGGUUAAUCUCCAGCCUUUUUGCAUCUGGUGUGUAGAUGUGUGUACUGGGUUUACAUAGUAACAUUUAGGCACAUGUUAAUGGUCGCUGAGUUCUGUAACACUUCCAAUAUUUGGGAUUAAUAAAAAUGUAUCGUUUCUCAUUUUAUGGGAUCCAUAUUCCCAGUGAUAGACAAUACUAGGGCCAUUAAAAGUCAACAGCAAAAUAUACUCCUGUUUUAGGACAGGCUAAUAAAUCAAAGAAUGGCCAAGAAGCUACAAAAUAUACUGUGAAAAUACAAGGCCCAGAUUUAACCUUUUAUCUGCACGACAAGCUGAAUGCUUUGUACAUACAUCAUAGCCCGCCUUGCAUGCAUGGGAUUUACAAAAACAUCAACUGUGAUUUUAGACGUUUUAUUACAUUUAUAUCAUAUAUAUAUAUAUAUAUAUUAUUUUAUUUUUCAAAUGAGCUUGUAGAAAAUGACUGCCUUUAAAUGAAAUAUUAGAAAUUGAAUGUGUAUCAGAAGAUCAUUUUGGCACUUACAUGAAAUAUAAAUAAAUAGUUGUAAGCUUGCCUCUUAUAUUUUAUGUAUUGUGUAUUUAAUCAUGCGUGAUUUAUAGAUUUAUUUACGUGUGUACAUUAAUAUGCACAUUAUGUAUAUAUACAUAUAUUAAUGCACACUAUAUAUUAUAUGUAUAUAUAUAUUCUCACGGAUAUUUAUUAUUAUAUAUAAAAUAAUGUUUAUUUAUGCACAAAACACGUGUGAGUGUGUGUGUGAGUCUGUGUGUGUGUGUGUGAGUGUGUGUAUGUGUGUGUAUGUUUGUGUGUGUGUGUGAGUGUGUGUGUGUGUGUAUAUAUAUAUGUAGAUAGAUAGAGAUAUACACAGACAUACAUAUAUUACACACACUCUAAAACAAAUACACAUACAUAUACACACGUUGUAAUCGCUAUAAUCGCCACAUACAUUUCGAUAUUUAUGCCUGUAGAUAUGCAUACAUGCACAUUACUAAUCGAUACAGGGCAAUCAGUGUAAAUGCAACGCUAUAUAACGCCUAGAAAGCGGUGUAUGUGUUCACACACGUGUGGCUGUAGUUAAAGCAGAAAGGAAAUAAUCUUCAUUUCUAUCUGAUAGCACGAGUCAAGCUCCCUAUUUAUUACUGAGAUAUAACUCACCAUUGUCGAGUAUUAAUAAGCCAAUAAUGAUAAUCUUUAUAGGGAAAGAGUACUGCUUGCACUAGUUUUAUUGCUUUACGUAUCCAUUGUAAUGACCUUUGGCUCAACAAAGCCAUAAUUCAAAACAGCCCAGUCUUAGCGAGGCCUCAAAUGAUUCUUCAUACUUUUAACUCCAGAACUGCUGGCUUAGCGAGCUCUCUGCUCUGCUGCGAAGGGGUUAAUAAUCCAUACUCCAGUAGUUAUUUGAAACAAGGUUGGGGGAGAAAGUAGAAGAAAAAGAAAAAGCUACUUUUACAUCAUAAAUACUUCUUUUAAUUUAUGUAUUUCUUCAUCUCAGAAAAAUAAUAAUAAUCUUUUUUUUUUUUUUUUCUACUAGCUAUAGUUAUUUAUUUAUUUAUUUAAACUAAUUUCUAUGUUUUAUUUCCAGGUGGCCCCACUGCACCUCUCACACAUCAUUCCUAAGAAGAUACAGAGAUAAACUGGCAAAAAGAAACUUAAAACUAAAUCAUUGGUAUGAUAUGCAUUAGGUGCUUAUUCACUAAACAGUGGGUUGAUCUAGUAACUAACUUGCAACAUUUAGAGCAAAAUAUUAAAGUUGCUAAAACACAUCUUGAAUUAAGCUGUUUAGUGUGGGGACAGUCGGAUUUGUAGCAGGAUACAAAUGUUGCACAAUCACGACAUACAUUUUGAACUUGGUUGGAAAAAGUGCAUCACAUGUACACUUUCUUUCUUUUAUCUCCUUUCUAUAAGGAUUUUAAAUAACUCCACCCAUCAGUACAGGAUACAAUGUCACUUACUCCCCACUUAAACCACUUGAUAACAAAGAUUUGAAUGUCAUUUGCACAAUCUAUAUCCCUCUUCUUUGCCUUGCUAAGUGUUCAAGUAACCAGCUGUUUGGGGUAUUUGUUUAUGUCAUUUAAUGUAAUUUUUACAGAUCUGCCCAAAGGAACAAAGGAAAUAAAAUUUGGUAACAAAAA